AGUACACAAAUACUGGUUGCCAUGGAAACCAGUAGGUGCCUGCUGCUCCUGAUUCUGUUUUCAGAGCAGAAUGCUAACCACAGGACGUUCCAGCUGUGACUCACUGCAACUGCUGGCAAGCAUGCUGGCUUGGUCCUGCUAAGGAAAUCAUUCCUGACAGACGAGACAGGGAAGCAGUGAAUCAAUGAAUCACUUGUGAAGAGAUAGAUGGCCAUUACUUACAGCGUGUUGCUAUGACAAUGUGGUUAUGUGUGGACACUGGGGCCAUCCCCAAUAUGUGGAGAGCAUAGCCCAGAGCAAACCAUCCUGUGGGGAGAGUAGUACAGCCCGCUUACAAAACCAAUGGUUUACUUUGAGUGUGUACCACAACCGAGAGUUUAAAGCAAAGAAAUGAAAAAUAAAAGGACAGCCAGAGUCUCAAGGGAAGACGUUUCAACUUCCAAACUGUAGAAUCCUGGAAUUGCACAGAGGCAAAGCAGGAAAAUGUCAAUAUCUUACCCAAAUCUGCAGCACUGAAUUUAGCCAUGAAACCAUGAUUUUCAGUAGAAGAACUUUUCACGAAUAUGACAUAAAGAAAAUUGUACACAGAUGUUAUAAACAAAGUGGGCAGAACUUUCAAUUCCAAAGGCAGUGAAGUUGAGAAUAACUACUUGGCUUUGGGGCUGGUGAAUGGUCCACCUGCAGAUUCUUUCUCCUGGAUACACGUUAGGAUAAAAAGGAUCAAGAGCCUGGGUCCCAGAGACAGAUGGGACAGUGUGAGCAGAACUGCCAGUGACCUCAAAACAACAUGUUUACACGAACAAAGAAUAAAUGUAUACUGUUAUAAGCCAUAGAA